rnacentral:rRNA from 1 species
UACGGAGGAUCCAAGCGUUAUCCGGAUUUAUUGGGUUUAAAGGGUGCGUAGGCGGACUAGUAAGUCAGUGGUGAAAGCCUGCAGCUCAACUGUAGAACUGCCAUUGAUACUGCUAGUCUUGAAUAUAGUUGAGGUAGGCGGAAUAUGACAUGUAGCGGUGAAAUGCUUAGAUAUGUCAUAGAACACCGAUUGCGAAGGCAGCUUGCUAAACUAUUAUUGACGCUGAGGCACGAAAGCGUGGGUAGCAAACAGG